AGCGGGGUGGGGAAGCCUGGUAUCCCGCGGGGCUCAUAACCCCGAGGUCGCCGGUUCAAAUCCGGCCCCCGCUACCA
rnacentral:tRNA from 1 species